AGAGUUUGAUCCUGGCUCAGGACGAACGCUGGCGGCACGCCUAACACAUGCAAGUCGAACGGAGUGAAGAUGCUUGCAUCUGAACUUAGUGGCGGACGGGUGAGUAACACGUGAGCAACCUGCCUUUCAGAGGGGGAUAACGUUUGGAAACGAACGCUAAUACCGCAUAAAAUAUCGGAGUCGCAUGGCACUGAUAUCAAAGGAGCAAUCCGCUGAAAGAUGGGCUCGCGUCCGAUUAGGCAGUUGGCGGGGUAACGGCCCACCAAACCGACAAUCGGUAGCCGGACUGAGAGGUUGAACGGCCACAUUGGGACUGAGACACGGCCCAGACUCCUACGGGAGGCAGCAGUGGGGGAUAUUGCACAAUGGGGGAAACCCUGAUGCAGCGAUGCCGCGUGAAUGAAGACGGCCUUCGGGUUGUAAAGUUCUGUCGCAGGGGACGAAAAUGACGGUACCCUGCAAGAAAGCUCCGGCUAACUACGUA
rnacentral:rRNA from 1 species